rnacentral:rRNA from 1 species
UUCUGGCUCAGAUUGAACGCUGGCGGGAUACUUUACACAUGCAAGUCGAACGCUUCAGCACGGACUUCGGUCUGGUGGCGGUGGCGAACGGGUGAUAAUGCUUGUCGGAACGUGCCUAGUAGCGGGGGAUAACUACGCGAAAGCAGCUAAUGCCGCAUACGCCCGCUCGGGAAAGCAGGGGACCUUCGGGCCUCGCACUAUUAGAGCGGCCGAUAUCGGAUUAGCUGGUUGGUGGGGUAACGGCUCACCAAGGCGACGAUCCGUAGCUGGUUUGAGAGGACAUGCCCGACCAGCCACACUAGGACUGGAGACACGGCCCAGACUCCUACGGGAGGCAGCAGUGGGGAAUUUUGGACAGUAGGGGAAACCUGAUCCAACUUCAUCCCGUAUGCGAUGAAGGCCAACCGGGUUGUAAAAAACACUUUUAGCAGGAGAAACGUACGGGAUAAUACCCCGUGCAGCUGACGGUACCUGCAGAAUAAGCACCGGCCUUUACAUUGCCUUCAUACGCGGUAAUACGUAGGGUGCAAGCGUUAAUCGGAAUUACUGGGCGUAAUAAAGCGUGCGCAGGCGGUUCCGGAAAGAAAAGAUGUGAAAUCCCAAAGCGCAACUUUGGAACUGCAUUUUUAACUGCCGGGCUAGAGUGUGUCAGAGAGUUGGAAUUACGCGUGUAGCAGUGAAAUGCGUAGAUAUGCGGAGGAACGCACACACCGAUGGCGAGCGGCCUCGCAGGAUAACACUGACGCUCAUGCACCGAAAGCGUGGGGAGCAAACAGGAUUAGAUACCUGGUGAUCCGCUAAACGUGUCAACUAGCUGUUGGGAGCCUUCGGGCCUUGGUAGCGCAGCUAACGCGUGAAGUUGACCGCCUGGGGAAUGCGGUCGCAAGAUUAAAACUCAAAGGAAUUGACAGGGAUACACAAGCGGUGGAUGAUAUUGGAUUAAUUCGAUGCAACGCGAAAAAUAUACCUACCCUUGACAUGUCUGGAAUCCCGAAGAGAUUUGGGAGUGCUCGCAAGAGGGAACCGGAACACAGGUGCUGCAUGGCUGUCGUCAGCUCGUGUCGUGAAGAUGUUGGGUUAAGUCCGCAACGAGCGCAGCCAUGUCAUUUAGUUUUGCUACGAAGGAGCACUCUAAUGAGACUGCCGGUGACAAACUGGAGGAAGGUGGGGAUGACGUCAAGUCCUCAUGGCCCUUGCUUAGGUAGGGGCUUCCACGUCAUACAAUGGUCGGGACAGAGGGUCGCCAACCCGCCGGGGGCCAAUCCCAGAAACCCGAUCGUAGUCCGGAUCGCGAUGCAACUCGACUGCGUGAGUCGGAAUCGCUAGUAAUCGCGGAUCAGCAUGUCGCAGUGAAUACGUUCCCGGGUCUUGUACACCGCCCGUCACCUGGCAGGGUGGGUUUUGCAGAAGUAGUUAGCCUAACCGUAAGGAGGGCGAUUACCACGGUAAGUUCGCGGCUGGGGUGAAGUCGUAACAAAAUGG